rfam:Hordeum vulgare subsp. vulgare, WGS project CAJW01000000 data, contig: morex_contig_36970
AAAAUACUCCCUCUAUCCCAAAAUCUCGUCUUAGAUUUGUUUAGGUAUGAAUGUAUCUUGCCAAGUUCUAGUAUUUAGAUACAUUCAUUUCUAGACAAAGCUAAGACAAGAUUUUUGGGACGGAGGAAAUAUUUA